GUUGAACUGUAGUGAUUUCCCUGAAGAAUCAGAUUAUACUCUAGGCAUUUUGUGUGCACCUGAGAGCAAUGUGGAUCAGUCUUACACAUAACACAAACACAAUAAGGCUAAAGGCUAUGCCAAUUCCAAGGGUUCCUUUGGUUUGACCAUCAGCAGCAACCGAUUCAGUUGUUUACUCUUUUCUCCCUGAUACAGUGUCUUCCCUUUACCUUAAAGAGAACGACCUUGCUAGUUCCUCUUCUUAGUCUCUUUUGAUGGUUCCUUUGUCUUAGUUUGUUCUCCACUUUCUCUCUCUUGAUGAUCUUGUCCAGUAUUAUGGGCUUUAAAUCCAUCUUCAGCCCCGACUUGUCUUUCAACUGCAACCUUAUAUAUACAAAUGCCUACUUGAUAUCUCCACUUAGAGGUUCAACAAGCAUCUGAAACUCAACAUGUCUAGAACUGAAUCUUCCUGAUCUUCCCCCAUCAUCCUUGCCCCUGUUUACCUACAGUCUUCCAAUCUGUGGUAGUUUUUAAAAAACGACUACAAAUUCUUUGAUAUUCCUCUCAUGAAAAAGUAUGGUCUAGGUUCCCUCCCCUUUAAUCUGGCUGGGCUUGGUGAUGCUUUGACCAACAGAAUACAUACAGUAGAAGUGAAACUCUAUGACUUCUGAGAUGAGGUCAUAAAAGGCUACGGAACUUCUGCUUGGUUCUCUUGGAUCACCUCCUCUUGGCAUGUUAGCUCUUGGGAUGCUCAGUCUGCAGAGCUCUCCUUGGGAAUUUGGCCUCCAUGUCGUAAGAAGUUCUAACCACCUGGAGAGACCAGCUGCUCCAGCCAUUCAAGUUUCCCUCAACUGUUCAUGCAUCCCAGCCAAAGUCCCAGACAUCGUGGAGCAGAGCAACCCAUGCCCACAGUGCCCUGUCUGAAUUCCUGACCCAUAGAAUCCUAGAGUGUAAUAAAAUGGUUUAAG
rnacentral:lncRNA from 1 species